UGUUGGGUAGGAGCGGGUCGAGUCCGUAUCACCGCGGAACAACUGCAGCGUCCGGAUCUGAUCUAUCUACUCGGCAAUUCAUCCGGUGACUUCACGGUCGCCAAAGAAGCCCCAAGAAGCAUCAAACAUUUCCGAUGAGAUCCAUGGUGCUAUUCUGAGAUAGCAGGCACUAGCUCCCAGUGCGACUUCAUAAAAAGCAAUCAAAGAUAAGAUCGAAGAAAAUGAAACGCACGUGGUGGUCAUUAUAGCGGUUCCUUCAGAUCCUAGAAAACGUCCAAAAAAACUGGCUACGGAACUACCGAGCAAAGGCAAAAAGACAAUAAGUAGAUACAUAAGAUCGAGUCUCUUCAAAAAAAAAUCAGACAAUGUUCGAGCGGCCUGUCAUUGAGACAAAAACGUGUUAAGCAUAUAAGACCUGAGACUUUCCUCUCUCUCCGAUUGCCGCUUUAUCGCAGAACAUCUAUUUGCUUUCUAUUCGACAAGAAGGACAAGGAAAAGAUAAUGGAUAUGGAACACAGGUCCUGGCACUAUUGGAAAAUGAAGCUCUCUCAGUUCAAACAUAUGAGAUUACUUACCCCGGGAACAAUUUCAGUACAUAUGGCGCAAGACGAUUCCACAUAUAUAUCGAGGUCAGAAUGGGAUCGGGUGUUUUCACGUCUCACCGUAGUGCAGCUUUAUACCACUGAUUUGACCAUUUUGCUGUGCUAGGCUGACCAUUUGGGGAAGAUACUCCAUUAAAAUUCUGAACAAGUAAGGGAACAGCUCUGGAUCCCAAGACAAGACUUCCUCUCAUAUUUAUAUUGAAAAAUAUGAAAACUAAUUAUCUUUAUUCUAGUUCCCUAAAACCCUUUCCGUGGCAUUCCUUUCUGUUCCACUCAUCCAACAUUGUUGGAUGCCAAAGACUUUGACGAAGACCAUUCUUUACCAAAGGAUGCGUCGAAGCGUGACAAAGAAAUGGCUGUCAAAGAGAAGGCCAAAAAUGCCAAUCUUCAAGCCAGAGGCGAGGGACAACAACCUUUGCCCGGCGGGGCGGCGGCUUCCUCAGAAAAAGAGAAAACUCUCUCACUCUCCUCUUUGACUGAACACUUGAGAUAGAUAUUGAUCAUAGAUAGGUACUCACAUUCACGGAAGUAAUGGUAAGGAAUCCCAGUAGUAUCUUCUCCCGGUGUAUGUGAAAGAGAAAAAGUGACGGGGCUCAUACUUCAGCGCUGCAGUGCUUGGUACUCGGACCUCGGCUCGAUGCAUUUUCUCUACCCCUUCUUACCCUGAAAAAGCAGGGUCACCUUGUGUCGUUUUUAUGAGAAGCGAGUUGUUCUAGGCUGGGCGGAUCCUGAUCUCUAAUACCGGUACUACGUCCUUGCCAAGAAUUACCAUAGGCCGGUCUUUCUUUGAAAUAGUCCUCUCACGCAUAUUCCUUUACUACCAAAGUAAUGCAUAUCCGGGGACCUUUUCAACAUACUUCUUUUCCUCUAUCAAAAAGCCAAUACCGACGCUCGCUUAUCAGCUUACCAGUUCAAACGGGUUUUAAAGUAGGUUCUACACAUUCGAGAAGACCCAGGCGGAUUGGAGUGGUUGUGCGCCGGGGCAAUCUCUGCUUGCAUUUCGCAUUGGAAUUUCAAGUACUAAGACAGGGGAGAGAUCUUUAUAAGGAAGGCUUGCAUCUGAAAAUAGUAGUAGUAGUCUAAGGAGUGAUUUGUACUGGAAAAACCUGCCAAUGGGAGCAUAGCUGGUCUUUAUUGUCCGCUCACUUCCUUCAAUCAAAGCAAGGGUUGUCUUUCCAGGAACUAGCAAACCAAACAAGCAGGCUAGCAAAACUAGGAUAAAGUUUGAUCCACCACUUACACUGGAAGGGCAAGAACUAAUGCUUAUGCGUAUUCUUCCACGGCAUAUAGAUGGUUAACUACUCCAACUCGAUGGCUGAGAGAAAAGUGAAAUCCUAGCUUGGAUAAGAAUCAUACGCUGCGAAUGAGCAGACGAAUCGACCGAGGGCUUACACACAAGAACAGAACCUAACUCUACUUCUUUUUCCUCCUUUCCUCUUUACUGCCCCCGCUAUACUAUCAACAGGUCAGUCAAUAUCGCAUCACAUCACCUAAAAGACUGAUAUCCAGCUCCAUAUAAUCCAACAAUUGGGCUCUAUUCUCCUGAAGAGAAGACACUUGAACUUCGUCAUGUGCUAUUGAGCCUUUUGAACCUAAGUGCGGACAUAAAGUCUUAGCCAAUGUUUCUAUACUAUUAGGGAGUAGAGUGUAUGAAUCUCGAUUUGACAUGACAGAGAGAGACUGUCAUCGCCAUCUCUUUGGACAUGCAUGUGUUAAGCAAAUGGACUGAACUGGUUUCUUCAGCCCUUUUUCUAUGUGUUGGUGUUCUAUAUGACCGACAUAAGACUCAACUUGUUAGAUAUUAUGGAGGUUUAGUGAGCACCAUGCCGAAUUUCUCUACCAUUUUCUUCUUUUUCACUUUAGCCAAUAUGAGUUUACCCGGCACUAGCAGCUUUAUUGGGGAAUUUCUAAUCUUAGUAGGAGCUUUCCAAAGAAAUAGCUUAGUAGCCACAUUAGCAGCGCUUGGGAUGAUUUUAGGCGCGGCGUAUUCCCUUUGGCUAUAUAAUCGUGUGGUUUCUGGAAAUUUAAAACCUGAUUUCCUCUAUAAAUUCUCCGAUCUAAAUGGCAGAGAAGUUUCCAUAUUUCUACCUCCAACAGACCGACAAGGAAUGAAGUCAACCUUAGAAAGUAGCCGAUGGGAGGUUUGAUCGGUUAAUGUGGAAAGACAACCCUUGCUUUGAUUGAAGGAAGUGAGCGGACAAUAAAGACCAGCUAUGCUCCCAUUGGCAGAAAUAAGGAUUGAUCGGGUAGUCCCGAUCGGUCCCGAUCAGUUAAUCCCGGAAGUCAUCUGCCACAAUGUCGGGAGCAUACCUCAUCAAGUUGUCGCAUUUCAUAUUGUAGUCCUGAACAGUACCACUCCCUUGUUUUAGGCUAACGAAUUGCUGUCGAAGCGCUUCCCGAGACAUCACAUCUAAAUACUGAUCAUUGAAUUCUCGCUCGAACCACGCCCAAGGAAUGGUUGGAUUUGAACCAUCAUUAUCUCCAUUAUGUCUCUUCUUUGCCUCCUGCCACCAAAAAGGAGAAAGUUUUCUCCCUUUUCACAUAACCGAGAAAAAAGGAAAAGUUACCCUACUACAUGUAUUAGCUAGUUUUGUCUAGUCAACAUCUAACGCUCAUUUCACUAUGGGAUUUAUUUACUCCGAUUGCUUCUACUCUCUUACAGCUGGGUGCGCCUAUAAGGAAGACUUUUCAUAGAUUGACUUUGGGCAGGCAAGUUGAACUAUCCGGCUUCCCUUAAAGUAUUCACUUUUCCAGGAGCCGACUUACCAGUUAGUACUGGCACUUUUACAGGAACAGUACCAGAGACUCAUCUCGUAAGAAGACAUUUUCAAUUAGACACUACUAGUCGAGGACUGCGAACUCAACUAGAUAUUCUGCACAUUCCAGUUUACCUUUUUAAAUCUUUUUUUAACUCCCCGAGCUACUACUCUGUAGAUUAACUAGUGUCUCCGAUUGCUUGGAUGAACAGAGCUCUCUUCUCUCCCAAUAUGUUUAUUUGACGGAGUCUAGUGCGUAUUCAUUUUCUUCAAGUCUUGGAUUCAAAAGGUUUUUUCCGGUGUAGGAUUCUUCCUACCCAACUUUGGCCAUUGAAGAAUGAGUCUUUGCUUUGUCCCCCGGGAUCCACCACAGGUUGGGUUUGAGAGCCGUGUGAUGGGUGACUAUCUAGCACGGUUCAGAGAGCACGUGUAUGUAGUCUGCGCUGGUGAAUACCACACGUGCAAGUUUCCCUGCAUGUGGCUCGUCCGUGAUAACUUCUUCGGAUUUGCCUGAACUAGCGGACCGAUCACUAAGUGGUUGCUUUCGCUGAUCGGCGCUAGUCUUUCCUGCUGUGAAUUUCCCAGGUCGAGAGGGGCCCUUUCCUUCUACCUUACUGAACCCAUUCACCAAUGAUUGGAGCCCUUUCACUAGUGGUUACUCCCGAUCCGAAGCACCCCUUUUCCAUUCAUAGAGAAAUCCAAUCGUCAAAAUCAAUAAAAAGGCCAUCAUGGACCAAGAUCCAAACAGAUCAAUCUUGUUAGGAGGUACUGCCCAAGGAAAAAAAAGGUGACUUCCUGAUCAGGGAUAAUAAAUAAAAUAGGAACCGGAUAAAAUCGUAUAUCGAAACGACUUCUGGCAUCACCGGAGGGAUUGAAACCACGUUCGUAGGCCGACAAUUUUUCUGGAUAGGUCGAACUAUUGGAAGCAAAUGGAAAAGGAACACCGAGUGGAAUCAAAGAAACUAGCGGACUGAUCACUAAAUAGAUACAAAUAGGUGCAAAUUCCGACAAAAAUGCACUUUCAUAGCCAUUUAUCGUGAUAGCGUAACUGCCAAAUCAUCCAAGUAAGGAAAUCGAUAAGCACGAAGAUUUCUCUCAAAGACGAGAAUAUCAUUCAGUCUUGAGAAAUGCAUGUGAAUGAGGAGCCGGUAUAAAUCGUAGGAACUCUUUGGAAGAACGAAUAACCACUGGGAUAAAAUGCCCCAAUGGAGCUUACGUUCUGAAUAUAUCCUCCUUGCUCGUAAGCAGGAAAGAUGAUAUUUCUCCAAACUGAAAUUAACAUAAGAUCAUUGGUUCACGAAGGGUAGAUUUCGCAGAUUUGACUGAACACAGAUAAACUAUAAACGAAAAUAGAGAACUGGAUGCGGUUAAGCAUACCACUUCGGAAAAGUGGAAAGGCACGGUGUUAAACCAUAGGCCUUUAACGGAACUCGAUCACUUAUUAGACCGAUAUAUGAACGGCAACCUCUUUAGCUUUUCCACUCCCUCACCACACCAACCACUGUGUGAUACUGAACACCCACACAAUCUCGAUUUAAAAGAGAGAGACUGUAAGGCUAGAAUUGGUUCACACAUAUGUGUGGGGGCCGGUCCAAUCACUCGGUAGAUCACGCUAUUAUGUCACCUUCAUUGAUGAUGCGACUCGGAAGGUAUCCAGCUGUUACGAACUAUCAGAUAGUCAAGAAUUGACAGGAAUGAAGGGAAUUGAUUUCAGGGAUCAGAUAAAGAGGGAAUUUAUGAAAUAAGAGUUACGAGAACAACUAGUCGAACGGAAGCAUUAGUUUCUCUACGAGAUGGAGAUGGCUCAUUCUCUAGUUUUCCUACGAGAUAUAAGUCAGUUUCUAACGUACUUUGAAGUUCAGGAAGGAGUUAUUAAUUAAGACGAAGAAGAACCCUCGCUUGGCUUUGUCCCGAACCAAGGAGGCAUGAUGGCGGGCGCGUGCGUGUGCCGACUGCAGAGACUACAAGCCGACGCCGGAAGCAUCGCUUUCUUUCUUCUCCCUCCAUUUUAUUCACUACUACCGCUUCUACACAUAAAUCAAAGAAGCAUUGUGGAAUAGUGGCAUUUCAUUAAUGUCGAAAAUGUUCUUAGUGAAAGGGUUGCCUUCCUUCUUUUCAAUAAGAAGAAGUAUUUGAAAUGAAACAAAUUCCUCUUCAUUCUGUUGUGCUCAGCGAAGGAACUGCGUAAGCAUACUUUUGCGGCACCAUUGGCCGAAGCAGACCUGGAAGCUGAUCUGCGAGUGAAUGAAAUUGAACGAUUAAUAUCGCCUUUCAUGCUAAAAUCGGACGAUUUCGACCUUACGUUCACGAUACUCCUUCCUGUCCUUGCGAUGUUUGGUUAAGUGUUAUCAAUCAGCUUUACUCUUCUUCCAGCAUUCUUCUAAGGUUUGCCUCUAACGAUGGUUGAAUAGCUCCUGUUGUUUUUAUUCCAUUGAAUUGAUUUCAUGAACUUCCCUCAAGCUGAAACCGGAACGGGAUUGUCAUUUAGCUUCAAUUUCUUCAGUCUCACAAGCGGGUCCGCAUGCAACAAAAGAAAUUGUAUUUGCCUACUACUCCGACCUCAGGAAUGCAAGCAAGCGAGGCCAGAACAAGGAGUGUCAAGAAAAACAGUAGCCGUUUACUCACAAGCUAACACGAAGCACGAAACACAUGGAUUCUCUGAGAACCGGACUGACCCAACCAAGCAAUCACUUGAGCCAUUCACACCUUGGAAGAGCUAUUCAAAGGUUUUCUGGCUGACUAUGAGGACACCUCUGCAUCCCAGGAGCAGACCGCUCCCCCGGAAUCUGUGGUCAGUCAAGAGCGGCAUCCGAAUCCCGCUCCGAUUCAACCUUGACCCCAGGGAUCUCCUCUCCCCAACUACACUAGGCUCAAGGUGGAAUAACGAAAGGAGGGUGCGUGCGAUAGCUAACCGAUUGAAGGAAAUUCCUCGCCUAUCUUAUUCUUUUUCAGUUCCGAUCAUCAUUAUACGAUCCAAGUCGUGGAAAAGCCGAGUGGGAAAGCCGAAACCGAGGUAACUUAGGCGUAGGUCAAAGCACGGGCAUGGAAAAGGGAUUAUAUGGCGUGCUGGGCUGGAUGAAAGAAGCAACUACGCCCCUGGUACAUUUCAACGCCCAUGAAUUCUAUAUUUCAGCAGUAUCUGAGGCCAUAGCUCUCAACUCAGCUUCAGCACUCGAGCGGGACACUGCAGUCUGCUUCUUGGUUUUCCAAAGGUCCGGAGGAGCGGAAGAGUUUAUAGUCGAGAAGGGUCGGGCAUUAGCAAAUCCUUCAAUCCCAACUCUUGAAAAGAAGCAUUUCCUCCUGAUUGUCCACCUUUUCGGAGAAAGAAGCACAUCACUUAUACGAGAUUCUGAAAUGAUUGUUAUCUCUAGGCACAUCUUAUGGGCGGAUGUUGCUCCUCGGAAAACGCGUAUAGUAGUCUCAUUGGCCUUCGUCGAUGGGACAAACGCUCCAGUGUAUGCGUUACAAGGCAACUAGCAUGUUGGAUUAGAAGUUCGUGAAAGUAUGUUCUCAUUUUUCGUUGGAACAACCAACCAUUUUCUUCUCCAAGUUGAGGUUCAGGGUUCGGCGGGGUGUGGCUUGUGGAUGGCUCUCCCCGAUCUGGAACAGCCCCGAAUACGUGUUCCAGGGGAACUUCCGGAAUUGAAUAAGGGUCAAAACGGGGCUGUUCCCCUUGCGGCACCUCUCAGUUCGGAUUGUUCUCUGCAACUCGGGAACAUGAAGUUGAAAUCGCUAGUAAUCGCGGAUCAGCAUGCCGCGGUGAAUAUGUACCCGGGCCCUUCCUUUGUUCCUCUUCCUUCUGCGCAGAUACUUUUGAUCCACUCCUUUCCUAUACCGCGCCCUCUGCCUAUUACGGUCGAUACCCAGAAAGUUGCCGACUACUUUUUUUCAUAAGGGGGGAAGCGAAGCUUAGUGAGCUUAGAGCGAUUUCCUCACAAAAAAAGCACGAGCGAGAUAUUCAUCCUUAACAGGGAUCUCAAUUGCGGGAAGAAGAUUUUUUCUUCAGGAUGGAGCGCAUCAGAUAUUAACAUUUUUGGAUUACUUUUUUCGGGGUUAAUCUGACCUUCUUUCCCAUGCAUUUCUUAGGGCUUUCGGGCAUGCCACAUCGCAUUCCAGAUUAUCCAGAUGCUUACGCCGGAUGGAAUGCUCUGAGCACUCUCAACGGAUCCUCCACGCGCUGCGCUGGGCAUACCAUAGUUCUUCCGUGCGUCUUUAUCGUGGCGGAAACAGAACAAGAGGGAAAGACCCGGCUGGCUCAUUCCAUUGAUAAGCUCAUCGGGCUGCUCGUCGUUAGGAAGAGAAAGUCCUACUGCUGUAACCGCAACAUCAAGCAAGUAGGAUCGGGAUUCAGAUGUUCAAUAAAUAGGUUUGUUAGAAGAGACAGGAAUUUAUUCUUUAUUAGUGCAUGCCUUUUUUUUUGUGAUUCGAGCAGUUCUUGUCACGAGAUGAUGGGCCAGAGAAAAGUUUGAUAGGAAAGGAAGGUGGGGCACUUCGUUGCUGGGCUGGAAUAGAAACUGACGUAUGGAGGACUUGUGAGAUCUUUCACUCUUCGACAACGAAAGCCUUGAGGACGUCAGCGAUGUGUUAUAGGGACGUCAACGAAAGCUAGUAGGGAACUGCAACCAGAGAGAGAGUUCUAGUGAGUCCAGACUCUUUCUUUCGUUCAUCAAAGCGAAGCAUGGCUGCAAUCCCAAACUCAUCCUUUUUUCCGCGAGCAAUCUACGUUUGUGAUCUCGUAUAUUUCGCUUCUCCGACAUCUUACUUAGUUUCCCCCUCAUAUUUUAGCAAAAAGCCGCUCCACAGUAGUAAAGUCUCAUCUUUUGUAUUGGCCGAAGUGACAAUAGUCACAUUACAAAGCAGAGCCCUCGUGAAUACACGUACCAUUAAUGAAGGAACAGCUAGUACUAAUUAUAUGAGGGAAUACUAAUUAUCUAUUCUUAUGUAUUCUCUCACAAUCACUCCUAGCAAUAAGUGAAAAGGCGGCUAUCGAUACUGUCCCAACAACCUCCUCUCAAUUGAUCCCUCGUUACUGCCCAUAGGAGAAGUAAUAGGUAGGGAUGACAGGAUUUGAACCCGUGACAUUUUGUACCCAAAACAAACGCGCUACCAAGCUGCGCUACACUCGUGAAGGUAAUGAAAUUAUCCGAUCAGCUUGCAAAUGGAGUCCUGAACUAGCCAGGUCUCGUUCUUAUAUGCUACCUAGAAUUAUUUAGAACUUAAAUCUUUAAGCAUGUGCUUAGUCAAGGAGGAAACUACUAAAGAACAAAGAAGUCGUCUUUGGUCAGUGAACCAACUUUUGCCGAGCCCCAUUGCCAACUCUAAAUUACAUUCAUUUCACCAGUCCGCCAAUCCAAUUAGGAUUCCCAUCGGUUGCAUCGCUCCUGCUCGCAGUAGUCGUUUCUUCUCCGGUGAAUCAAUUUCUUCUAAACAGAAUAAGGGCGGCAUCCUGCUCUCGACUAUCUCUGCCGCGGAAUGGGAUCGCUUGCCAGCUAGGCCCUCUAGAAAAAAGUUGGAGCAACAUUGUAUGAACUCUCGGGUUUGGAACAGAUAAGUUCUGUACGGAUAACAAAGAAUAGAAAUUGGAGAGCAGGUGCCCUUCCCUGGUUGUUACCUUCCCAGCCCCAAAGGAAAAGCCCUGAUCAUUUGAAAAAAAAGAAGCCAUGCAUGCCGACACGUUUUAACAGAUCAGUAGCAUACUUCUCUUGAGUCAAGAUAAUUCCAUCAUGAACUUUAUUAACUUCUAUGCCCAAGAAAUAGUGCAACGCACCAAGAUCCUUAAGGGCAAAUUCUUCUUUCAAAUCUUGAAGUAAUGCCGAAGUUGCUUUUUCACAAGAACUAGCAACAAUGAUGUCAUCAACAUAUAUCAACACAAAUAUGGAGAUUGUACCUUUCUUGUAAAAGAAGAGCGAAGCAUCUGCUUUUGACGGUUGAAAUCCAAGCCUAGCUCGUUAUUCUUUGAGAUAUGGAUAGAGUCUCGCUUCGGGGCGGGGGAAGCAGCAAGCGUAGGCUAAAAAGAGGUGGGUCGGUUUAGUCAUCAGCUCAAGAGGACAGGGGAGAGAUAGGAGACAAAAAGAGGCAAAGUGAGGCCCGCCCAAGCAAGUGGUUUGUUUUUGAGAGAGAAGUGUUUUCUUUGGAAAAGAAGAGCUCUUUCUAAGUUGACUUGCUCUGUUCGUCCGCUGUCAGAUCAAAACGGGUAGGGAUCGGCCCAGCCUAGAACAACUCGCUUCUCAUAAAAACGAAUCCCUUUGUGCCUGGAAGAAAUGCAAAGGGGAAUGCUGGGUCAGAGCCAAAGAAUGUGAACUAUACAAGUUCACAAUACCCUUUGAUGAAAUGAAAGAAAGGGUUCCGGUGUAUAGAGAGGGCCUGCGGACGGCUGUCCGAAGUGCAUGCAAUGACGGGCUCGGAUAGGAUAGGGUUGUGCGUGCCGGGCCCUUCGGGUGUCCAUAUUUUGGCCGACCCAUCCUAGUCUUUUGCGACACAGCUGGUUUACUUAUUUUGUUAGGUCUCGACUUCUCCGCUAUGAUCUCCCCAGUAGUUCAUAUAGGAGCUAUUGCCGUUUCAUUCCUAAGCAAGCUGGAGCACCUUUCACUCUCGGGCAUAAAGGCUUUUAUCCAAUUCAUUCACAGGAAGGGUAGAAGGAGCUUCAAAGCUUUUAGCCGGCGUUGGAGCUCAGACGGUGCAGUUAGUAUUGACCACUACCGCCAAGUCCAUAAUUAAAAAAUUGAUGAAGUCCACAUAAUGGAGCUCAAAAGCCGAUUAAAAAAUCUACUUUUUGAGCAUCUUGAAACCGCACAUAAAAAAUAUUAUGAAUGAAUCACCUUACAAUAACAUACGAGAGACAGCUUUCGAUUUUUUCGAACAACAAGUCGAACCCAAUGAACAAUUCCAUUCAAAGGAAUGUUCUAGAGGGGGCCCUUUUCCGCUAUAUUCGCGAUAUUGAACAAAAUGGAAGAAAUUCUUCACGAUUUCUAGAGUUCCGGGAUUACUUCACGGAAGAUCGGGUUAAAAAAUUCUAAAGCUUUCGUCUCAAUUCAUAUUUAGCCGCGAGCAAUCUACGUUUGUGAUCUCGUAUAUUUCGCUUCUCCGACAUCUUACUUAGUUUCCCCCUCAUCUUUUAGCAAAAAGCCGCUCCACAGUAGUAAAGUCUCAUCUUUUGAAUUGGCCGAAGUGACAAUAGUCACAUUGAACCCUCGAAUAUGCUCGAAGAUCUCGAAAUGAUCUUCCAGUUCCGGGGAGAAUUCGCAAAACUCCGUUUCCAUAAAGAAUGCUAAAUGACAAUCUGAACCUACUUGCUUACAGGAUCUUUAAGAAAACUGUGGACUUUUGCACCUUUCUGUCUAGCUUGAGUUAUCUUUUAGUUCUCUCCCCUCGGCAAAGUGGAUAGGAAAGAGUCUUGCAGGUUGAUCAACAAGUAAAUCCUCCCGGAUAUGAAAAGACAAGAUCAAUAUGUCAGCUAGCUUACUAAUACGGCAGCUGCUUAAACUCAUGCUGUACCUACAUAUCUCAUUUGGCUAUCCUUACCUAUUGGCUAUCCCAGGUGACCUUACACCUAAUGGACUAAUGCCAAGCUUGAAACUCCUAUGUAGAGGGAGCUAUCUCGCCUAUGUUUACGUUGCAAUGCUACUCCUCUGUUCUGUUUCUAGUGCGGUUAUGUGUAUUACAAGUUUUAAUAAGAGCGCACUACUCAUCCCAUGGGAGAUGGAGCCAUAGAGAAAUCCAAUCGUCAAAAUCAAUAAAAAGGCCAUCAUGGACCAAGAUCCAAACAGAUCAAUCUUGUUAGGAGGUACUGCCCAAGGAAAAAAAAAGGUGAC
rnacentral:lncRNA from 1 species